AUCUAACAGUGUAACAUAAUUAAUACAUUUUAAUAUAAUAUUAUAAGAUAUCAUUGUAAAUAAUUUGUAUAAUUAUGCAUUAUCAAUUAUUAAACUGCUGAAAUGUUAAUUAAUAUUAUCAAUAAGUUAGAUUACUGUCAGGAACAAUUUAAAAUAAAAAAUAAAAAAAUAAUAAUAAGAUCGGUCAAUCCCUUAGUGCAGUGAUUCAGUGAACAAUCCAUUAACCUAUAUAUUAUGGCUGAAUACGAUUAUUUUUUGAUAGCUAUAUCGGAUAUCCUAUAUCUAAUAAUAGUUAUAUCAGCAAGUGUUCCUAUAAAUUAUAAUGAAUAUCACAUAAAUAUUGCAAUCGUCACAUUCACUUGGGAGGGGGGCUCUAUUCAUGAAAGAUGUGCGCUCUUUUUACGCGAGUUCAUUAUUUUUUUUUGUGAAUUUGUGUCAUUUGUAAUAAUAAUGAAUUAACGUACUAUAUAUAGGCGUCAUUGCUCCGAUUAUACUACAAGAUGCGAAUAUGUUUUAUAUUAAUUAACAUUUUAUAAAAUCAUGGCUGAAAAACAGUGAAGAAGAAUUUGUCAUUGAGCUGAUGGAAAAUGUGUCGGCACUCGGCUGUAUUUCAACACGGAGGACGUCUGGCAGCAGCAAAAAGAAAUUCAACUGAUGAUCAACUGCCCAAAGGAUUUGUUGUGAAGCAGAAUUUGUCAUUGAGCUGAUGGAAAAUGUGUCGGCACUCGGCUGUAUAUCAACACGGAGGACGUCUAGCAGCAGCAAAAAGAUAUUCAACUGACGAUAAUCAACUGUCGAAAGGAUUUGUUGUGAAGAAGAAUUUGUCAUUGAGCUGAUGGGAAAUGUGUUGGCACUCGGCUUCGUUUCAACCCGGAGGAAGAUUGGCAGCAUUUUAGUAUAAGUUUUCCCCUAACGCAUUAGCGCUCAUCUCUCAUCCACUCAUCCAACACAUUGACUAUCGCCGUCCGGCAACACACACAUAUUAUACACAUUACCCGUUUUAUAUUUUAUAAUUUUAUUAAUAUCUACAUAUAGUUUAAGUUAUUGUAUAUUUUUUUUUUAUUAUUUGAAUGCAUUCAUAUGAUCUGUGGCGUAUUUAGGAAUUUUAGGAUAAGGGCAACACAUAUUUUGCCCCCCCCCCUAUUAAAAAACUUCUAUGCCGCGCAAUGGUGAAACUGUUAAUACCAUAGAAUACCAUGUUAUAUAAAUACUAUAGUAUUUUAUACCUCUGUGGCACACAUUUGUUGUGAAAAAUAUUAAUGAUUGACGUCACUGCGCCAGUACUCAUAAAGUACGAAAUAAAAAUUUGCCGUUCUGGACAACUGGACCCAAAGCUCCUACCAAAUACGCCCCUGCAUAUAAUGCGUUCUCGCUUACGAUGUGGAUUAGGCCUACUGGGGACACCACAAUAAAAAACGCGCCUCGUGUAAUACCUCAUAAAGUUAUUAAACAAUACGGACAAUGUUAUUGUACGUCGUUUAAUAAAAAAGGUGGUGUGGAAAAUUACCUAACACUGUUGUUCUUAUCUUAUAGUUAUCUUGCAUACAUUUUUUUAAAAUUAAAUACCAAUUAAAUAAUUAUUUAUA